CGCUAGCUACAGGCUUAACACAUGCAAGUUGAGGGGCAGCAUGGUCUUAGCUUGCUAAGGCCGAUGGCGACCGGCGCACGGGUGAGUAACACGUAUCCAACCUGCCGUCUACUCUUGGACAGCCUUCUGAAAGGAAGAUUAAUACAAGAUGGCAUCAUGAGUCCGCAUGUUCACAUGAUUAAAGGUAUUCCGGUAGACGAUGGGGAUGCGUUCCAUUAGAUAGUAGGCGGGGUAACGGCCCACCUAGUCUUCGAUGGAUAGGGGUUCUGAGAGGAAGGUCCCCCACAUUGGAACUGAGACACGGUCCAAACUCCUACGGGAGGCAGCAGUGAGGAAUAUUGGUCAAUGGGCGAGAGCCUGAACCAGCCAAGUAGCGUGAAGGAUGACUGCCCUAUGGGUUGUAAACUUCUUUUAUAAAGGAAUAAAGUCGGGUAUGCAUACCCGUUUGCAUGUACUUUAUGAAUAAGGAUCGGCUAACUCCGUGCCAGCAGCCGCGGUAAUACGGAGGAUCCGAGCGUUAUCCGGAUUUAUUGGGUUUAAAGGGAGCGUAGAUGGAUGUUUAAGUCAGUUGUGAAAGUUUGCGGCUCAACCGUAAAAUUGCAGUUGAUACUGGAUAUCUUGAGUGCAGUUGAGGCAGGCGGAAUUCGUGGUGUAGCGGUGAAAUGCUUAGAUAUCACGAAGAACUCCGAUUGCGAAGGCAGCCUGCUAAGCUGCAACUGACAUUGAGGCUCGAAAGUGUGGGUAUCAAACAGGAUUAGAUACCCUGGUAGUCCACACGGUAAACGAUGAAUACUCGCUGUUUGCGAUAUACGGCAAGCGGCCAAGUGUAAGCAUUAAGUAUUUCGCCUGGGGAGUACACCGGCAACGGUGAAACUCAAAGGAAUUGACGGGGGCCCGCACAAGCGGAGGAACAUGUCGUUUAAUUCGAUGAU
rnacentral:rRNA from 1 species